AGAACACAAAUAUCCAAAUCUGCGUCAGACAUUGAGGCUUUAGAUAGUCCAGGUUGUAAUAAUGCCACUACUUGGAAAUCAGCCAGAAGUCAAGAAGAUUUAACUCACAUCCCCCAUCGCCACAGUGAAGAAGUGAAAAGGGUCAAACACAGAACGGAAAACAAAGGAAAAGGAGCACAUCAGGGUCAUUCUGGCUCAAAGAAAAAGGAAAAAUCUACUUCAAAUCAGGGCAAUGGACACGAUUCUAAAAACACUGUCAAAAGAGGACAAAAAACUGGGAAG